rnacentral:rRNA from 1 species
AUGAACGCUGGCGGCGUGCCUAAUACAUGCCAGUCGAGCGAACGGACGAGAAGCUUGCUUCUCUGAUGUUAGCGGCGGACGGGUGAGUAACACGUGGAUAACCUACCUAUAAGACUGGGAUAACUUCGGGAAACCGGAGCUAAUACCGGAUAAUAUUUUGCACCGCAUGGUUCAAAAGUGAAAGACGGUCUUGCUGUCACUUAUAGAUGGAUCCGCGCUGCAUUAGCUAGUUGGUAAGGUAACGGCUUACCAAGGCAACGAUGCAUAGCCGACCUGAGAGGGUGAUCGGCCACACUGGAACUGAGACACGGUCCAGACUCCUACGGGAGGCAGCAGUAGGGAAUCUUCCGCAAUGGGCGAAAGCCUGACGGAGCAACGCCGCGUGAGUGAUGAAGGUCUUCGGAUCGUAAAACUCUGUUAUUAGGGAAGAACAUAUGUGUAAGUAACUGUGCACAUCUUGACGGUACCUAAUCAGAAAGCCACGGCUAACUACGUG